rnacentral:rRNA from 1 species
UACAGAGGUCUCAAGCGUUACUCGGAUUCAUUGGGCGUAAAGGGUGCGUAGGCGGCGCGGUAAGUCGGGUGUGAAAUCUCGGAGCUUAACUCCGAAACUGCAUUCGAUACUGCCGUGCUUGAGGACUGGAGAGGAGACUGGAAUUUACGGUGUAGCGGUGAAAUGCGUAGAUAUCGUAAGGAAGACCAGUGGCGAAGGCGGGUCUCUGGACAGUUCCUGACGCUGAGGCACGAAGGUCAGGGGAGCAAACGGG